UGGGGAAUAUUGGACAAUGGGCGAAAGCCUGAUCCAGCCAUGCCGCGUGUGUGAAGAAGGUCUUCGGAUUGUAAAGCACUUUAAGUUGGGAGGAAGGGCAGUAAGCGAAUACCUUGCUGUUUUGACGUUACCGACAGAAUAAGCACCGGCUAACUCUGUGCCAGCAGCCGCGGUAAUACAGAGGGUGCAAGCGUUAAUCGGAAUUACUGGGCGUAAAGCGCGCGUAGGUGGUUCGUUAAGUUGAAUGUGAAAGCCCCGGGCUCAACCUGGGAACUGCAUCCAAAGCUGGCGAGCGGGAGUAGGGCAGAGGGUGGUGGAAUUUCCUGUGUAGCGGUGAAAUGCGUAGAUAUAGGAAGGAACGCCAGUGGCGAAGGCGACCACCUGAGCUCAUACUGACACUGAGGUGCGAAAGCGUGGGGAGCAAACAGG
rnacentral:rRNA from 1 species